rnacentral:rRNA from 1 species
CCUACGGGGUGCAGCAGUGGGGAAUAUUGGACAAUGGGCGAAAGCCUGAUCCAGCCAUGCCGCGUGUGUGAAGAAGGCCUUCGGGUUGUAAAGCACUUUCAGUGGGGAAGAAAGCCUUGGGGCUAAUACCCUCGAGGAAGGACAUCACCCACAGAAGAAGCACCGGCUAACUCCGUGCCAGCAGCCGCGGUAAUACGGAGGGUGCGAGCGUUAAUCGGAAUUACUGGGCGUAAAGCGCGCGUAGGCGGUCUGAUAAGCCGGUUGUGAAAGCCCCGGGCUCAACCUGGGAACGGCAUCCGGAACUGUCAGGCUAGAGUGCAGGAGAGGAAGGUAGAAUUCCCGGUGUAGCGGUGAAAUGCGUAGAGAUCGGGAGGAAUACCAGUGGCGAAGGCGGUCUUCUGGACUGACACUGACGCUGAGGUGCGAAAGCGUGGGUAGCAAACAGGAUUAGAUACCCCGGUAGUC